AGGUUCCACUCCACAAGAAU
rnacentral:snRNA from 1 species